GUACACACCGCCCGUCAAGUCAUGGAAGGAGGAAGCACCAGAAGACGUCAGAGCCAACCGCAAGGGAGGUGGACGGCCAAGGUGAACCUCUGGCUGGGACUAAGUCGUAACAAGGUAUCCGUAGGUGAACCUGCAGAAGGAUCA
rnacentral:rRNA from 1 species